CUCUUGAGAGCGGCGGACGGGUGAGUAAUGCCUAGGAAUCUGCCUGGUAGUGGGGGAUAACGUUCGGAAACGGACGCUAAUACCGCAUACGUCCUACGGGAGAAAGCAGGGGACCUUCGGGCCUUGCGCUAUCAGAUGAGCCUAGGUCGGAUUAGCUAGUUGGUGAGGUAAUGGCUCACCAAGGCGACGAUCCGUAACUGGUCUGAGAGGAUGAUCAGUCACACUGGAACUGAGACACGGUCCAGACUCCUACGGGAGGCAGCAGUGGGGAAUAUUGGACAAUGGGCGAAAGCCUGAUCCAGCCAUGCCGCGUGUGUGAAGAAGGUCUUCGGAUUGUAAAGCACUUUAAGUUGGGAGGAAGGGUUGUAGAUUAAUACUCUGCAAUUUUGACGUUACCGACAGAAUAAGCACCGGCUAACUCUGUGCCAGCAGCCGCGGUAAUACAGAGGGUGCAAGCGUUAAUCGGAAUUACUGGGCGUAAAGCGCGCGUAGGUGGUUCGUUAAGUUGGAUGUGAAAGCCCCGGGCUCAACCUGGGAACUGCAUUCAAAACUGACGAGCUAGAGUAUGGUAGAGGGUGGGUGGAAUUUCCUGUGUAGCGGUGAAAUGCGUAGAUAUAGGAAGGAACACCAGUGGCGAAGGCGACCACCUGGACUGAUACUGACACUGAGGUGCGAAAGCGUGGGGAGCAAACAGGAUUAGAUACCCUGGUAGUCCACGCCGU
rnacentral:rRNA from 1 species